AUGGGUAGAACCAAUGUCAACCCUAUAUGGGGUAAGAUUUGGAGACUAUCAUGUCCAGCAAAAAUUAAAAUUUUCAUAUGGCGUACACUGCGUGGUACCCUCCCAUGCCGAGUUACACUUGCUAAUAGACAUAUAAAAUUUUCACCCAUUUUCCCUUCAUGCUCAAAUGGACCGAAGGAUACAAAACACGUCUUGUUUCAGUGUCAUAAGGCAAAAGAAAUUUGGGGGAAAUUAGGUCUACAAGAGGUGAUCCAUAAAGCCUGUAUUGUUGACCACGCGGGAGAGGCGGUGCUCGAAUUCUUACUCCUUAUGAAAGAUCAAGAAUUAAACAUUAAGGGCAUCCAGAAUGCACAUGAGUUAAUAGCUAUUACAACUUGGUAUCUAUGGUGGGAUAGACGUCAAGUGGUCCAUGAAGGAAAGUUACAGGAUGCAAAUCAAACUUCGAUGGGGGCUCGUGCUAUAAUGGCAAACUAUGUCAAUGCAUACUCCCCUAAGGCACCUCAUAAAAUAGGGGGAUGGAGUAUCCCUCCUAGGGGAUUUGUGAAGCUGAAUGUUGAUGCCGCUUUUGAUCAUGAUCUCCUUCAAGGUACAGCUGGUGCGGUCCUGAGAGAUGAUAAGGGAAGGUUCAUCGUUGGAGGAAACUGGAGGAUUGACUGGUGUGAUAAUGUAUUAACAGCUGAAGUUCUGGCUCUUGAAUUUGGUUUAUUCCUAGCACAGAAGGCGGGCUGCAAUCGCCUUGUUGUAAACUCAGAUAACAUGGAAGUGAUCGACAUAAUGAAAAAUGGAGGACACUCAGCGGGAGCGGCAGCUGUAGUUUUUGAUGAUUGUUACUUUUUGGCUUGUGAUUUUCCUAGAGUUAAAUUUGAACACUGUAAUAGGGAAGCAAAUAGAGUGGCCCAUGAAAUAGCUAGGUUAGCAAAAAUUUCUGCCACUAGGGAUUGGUUUGAGGACCGGUGA
rnacentral:rRNA from 1 species